UACCGUGGUGAAAUGCAGAAGGAUACACUUGUUUCGAUGCGUACCACAGAAGUUAAGCUUCUUAACGCCGAAAGUAGUUGGUGGGCAACUGCCUGCGAGGAAAGGAAGCUGCCGUGC
rnacentral:rRNA from 1 species